rnacentral:rRNA from 1 species
GACGAACGCUGGCGGCGUGCCUAAUACAUGCAAGUAGAACGCACAGUUUAUACCGUAGCUUGCUACACCAUAGACUGUGAGUUGCGAACGGGUGAGUAACGCGUAGGUAACCUGCCUGGUAGCGGGGGAUAACUAUUGGAAACGAUAGCUAAUACCGCAUAAUAUUAAUUAUUGCAUGAUAAUUCAUUGAAAGGUGCAAUUGCACCACUACCAGAUGGACCUGCGUUGUAUUAGCUAGUAGGUGAGGUAACGGCUCACCUAGGCGACGAUACAUAGCCGACCUGGGAGGGUGAUCGGCCAAACUGGGACUGAGACACGGCCCAGACUCCUACGGGAGGCAGCAGUAGGGAAUCUUCGGCAAGGGACGAAAGUCUGACCGAGCAACGCCGCGUGAGUGAAGAAGGUUUUCGGAUCGUAAAGCUCUGUUGUAAGAGAAGAACGGGUGUGAGAGUGGAAAGUUCACACUGUGACGGUAUCUUACCAGAAAGGGACGGCUAACUACGUG